rnacentral:rRNA from 1 species
CAGUCGCCGCGGGAAUACGUAGGGGGCAAGCGUUAUCCGGAAUAACUGGGCGUAAAGGGUGCGCAGGUGGUUUAAUAAGUUAGUGGUGAAAGGCAUAGGCUCAACCAAUGUAAGCCAUUAAAACUGUUUAACUUGAGUGCAGGAGAGGAAAGUGGAAUUCCUAGUGUAGCGGUGAAAUGCGUAGAUAUUAGGAGGAAUACCAGUGGCGAAGGCGACUUUCUGGACUGCAACUGACACUGAGGCACGAAAGCGUGGGGAGCAAACAGGAUUAGAUACCCCGGUAGUCCCUGUCUCUUAUACC